rnacentral:rRNA from 1 species
UGGGGAAUAUUGCACAAUGGGCGAAAGCCUGAUGCAGCGACGCCGUGUGAGGGAUGACGGCCUUCGGGUUGUAAACCUCUUUCAGUAGGGACGAAGCGCAAGUGACGGUACCUGCAGAAGAAGCACCGGCUAACUACGUGCCAGCAGCCGCGGUAAUACGUAGGGUGCGAGCGUUGUCCGGAAUUACUGGGCGUAAAGAGCUCGUAGGCGGUUUGUCACGUCGUCUGUGAAAUCCUAGGGCUUAACCCUGGACGUGCAGGCGAUACGGGCUGACUUGAGUACUACAGGGGAGACUGGAAUUUCUGGUGUAGCGGUGGAAUGCACAGAUAUCAGGAAGAACACCGAUGGCGAAGGCAGGUCUCUGGGUAGUAACUGACGCUGAGGAGCGAAAGCAUGGGUAGCGAACAGG